AUUCUUGGUAUGUAUUACUUUUUUAAUUUGCUACGAAUGUACACUUGGAGUUUGUUAAAGAAAGGAACUAUAUUAUUUCGACACCGAAUUAUUAAUUUGUUACUUGUUUAUGACAGAUUACAUGUUUCGAAGUCAACUUUGUUUGCGCCUUAUUUUGUUCAGUAUGGAAUUUUUCUGAGUGGAGUUGUUGGUACGUUGUUUGAUUUGAAUAAUGUUAUAUAAUUUAAUUGUAUUUACCUUUGUUUAUAAUUUUUUAUUUAUUGAAGCUCAUAAAUGUAUAUAUUUUUUAUUUAAGUUGUUACACUGAGGAUGGUCUGACGCAGACCGAAACGUUUGUACUUCAAUCUGAUUAUUAAAGGAUUUUUGCACCAACAUCCAGCGUGGCUUAUUGCUAUUAUUGUUAUCUUUGAUCGUUAUUUCUUAUAUAUUCAUAUGCUUUUGCUGAAUAAAAAUGAAGCAUUACUGUAAAAGAUUGUAGUUUUUCUGAAUAUUUCUGUUUUGAUGAUUAAAGCUCUGUCAGCAGAUUUAAUAUACUCAAAACUCUUAUGCGAUAUGAUGCUCGUUGCAUUGUACUGACAAUUUGUUGUCUUCAUAACAUGUUGAGGUCUCACAGUGUAGGUCGUAUCAAGAGACACGGUAAUAGCCUAGUUUACACCGAUCGUUUGAUACGCGUAUCAAAUAGUACAUUUGAGCUAAUCAGCCAAUGACUAAACGGAUGCACUAGUUAUUUACUAUUUAAUACGCGUAUUAAACAAUCGGUGUAAAAUACACUAGUGUAUCGCGCCAAGUGUACGCGAAGCGAGACCAACUGUGUAUCUUUACACGAAGCGGCGAUUUCAGAGACCCUUAGAUUAUCAGAUCUUAAUAACCGCUGAUCCGAUUAACUUCUAAGUAGGCUCAAUAGAUAGUUUUGGUUUGCAUUAUAUAAUAAAAGCAUUUUCGUGUAGGUGGCGUAGGUGUAGAGAUAUUGCACUGCAAAGUCCAAAUCUUGAAAUUUUUAAGAAACGUCGUUAUCAUCAUCGUCGUUUGUACAGUUCGUUCUUUUAUUCUUAGGUGGCAGCAGCAGCGGUCUUUUGCACGUAUGUACAUGCACGUGUUUAUACCAAAGUUAUAUUAAUUUAUGUUUAUAUUUAUGUAUGUAAUUUUUAUAUAGUUACGGUGUUUAUGGGGCGGCAUAGUCACGUUACUAUAUUUAGUUUUAUAUUUUGUUUACAUAAGUACUACACUAAUAGUGAAUUCGGUCGGUUUGCACUCGUGUUACACUAAACUAUACAAGUGCAGCACUAGGCCGAAUCCACAUUGCACUGAAUUGUACGAGUGCAGCACUAGGCCGAGUCCACAUUGCACUGAAUUGUACGAGUGCAAUACUAGAUCCAGUCCACAUUGCAUUUAACUGUACGAGUGUAACAGAAUUCUAGCCGACACUCCUAACCUUUCUGUGCAACAUCAAAUUCAUAAUUCUAUACUAUUCGUAACACUAUUAAACAUUUAGCCAUUACGAAUGAACAAAGGAACUGUUCAACAAGUAAACAUAAACAGAAACGGUGGAAAUAAUAUCAACAUGAGUAUAAUUUUCAAAAGAAUUAUAUUAGACGACAACAACACAGUAAUAGAGAACGAAACUCACAUUUUAUGUGAAGUAGAGAAUGAAACAGGUGAUUUAAACAUAAUUAUGAUGGAUAAAAAAAACUGUCUGAAGCUGGACAUGAAAUUUCUGAUAACACUAUUUUAACAGAAGAAUCUUCAAGUUUUGAUGAAAAUGAUGAGUUACAUGCAAAUACUAAAAACGACGAGUGGUCAGAUGAAACCACUAGAUUUAUACUGGAUAAGUAUGCUGAUUAUUUGGAAUUAGUCGGCCCAAUGAAAAAAUUUAAAAACAAAAAGGUAAUGUGGAUGCAAAUCGCGAAAGAUAUGGAAACAGUUUUAGGCAUACAAAAAACAUAUAUCUAAUGUGAAAAUCGGUAUAAAACAAUCCUUCGAAGAAAACGUAUUUGUGAUAAAAAUAAUGCAACUUCCGGAUCGAAGAGGGCUAAAAUAAAUUUUGAAAAUGAAUUAAAACAGAUUGCUACCAAAGAUGACAGUAUAGAGCCAGAAGUAUUACAAAGCGCAAAUAAAGUUGUACUUAAUGUUAAAAACACUAAUGUGUCUGAAUCAUCUAAUACAUUAAAAAAUAAAAAAGCUAAAUGUAACUUACUUCAAACUCUUAUUGAGAUUCAUAAGGAAGAAGAAUCUAAAAACCAAGAAUGACAUGAAGAGAAAAUGAGAUUGUUAAGAAGCUUUCUUGAAAAAGAGAAUAAGGAUACUUCAGACGUGUGAUAAGUUCUAAAGCAUAUUUUUUCUAUUUUUUCUAUAUAGCAUAUUUCGAAUCUUCUAUGUUAUUUCUAAACAUGCAUAAGACAGUACAAGUAAUAUAUAAUUUAGAGAGAUAUUUGUGUUUAAAAUAAGAGAAACGUGAUAAGACUUAAUCUUUUUUCUUUACUUUGAUAUUAAAUAAAAAUUGUACUGUAAUUUUGUUUAUUCUUAAGAUAAAAAUAUUAAGUUUUUGUUUAGGUAGUGUACCAAAAACUAUGUGAAAAUAUUAAAGUAUAACGAAUCUAUGUAUUUAAUAUAAGUUGCGCGCAUGAUUCAUAUUAUAUUACUUGCAAUAUUGUUACAUCUUAAUAUUUUUUGACAAAUAUUCUUAUUAGACAUAUAUUUUAAUAUUUAUAUGAUACUAUGUCGCAUUGAUAAAGUUUUUUGUUACUAUUUAAGGAUAUACUGUGCAAUAAAAAUAUAUGAAACUAUAUAUAAGUAU